ensembl:lncRNA
UAACCAUUAAGUUUGGUGGUGAACUUGCUAAGCUUAAAAAAUGCAUGUUAGAAAGGAGAAAUUCUGCACAAUGAAAAAGAAACUCAUCACUUCUUUUUACCAGCUCCUAUUCAUCAAAAGAUAUUACCAGGUAUUUAUCGUAUUCCUCAAGGUGUGUUUGUGAACAUGAAUAUAUAGAUGUGUGUACACGUAUCUCUAUGUAUGAGCACAAUCACAACUUGUUUUAUUACUGAUGCACCAAAAGAAUUUAGAACUAUUCGGAGCGCAAUCAGUCCUCAGACCACAAACCCUGGAUGGACUUCACACAAAUGCUCAGGUAAACAGAGAAAGUAGAGGCAUGAAAACAACCAUUACCAAGAAAAAAUUGAGCAUGUGUUCCCAGCUGGAGAGUGAAUGGAACCAUAGUCAACAAGAAAGAAAUAUGCGCCCGCACGUUAUUCUCCAAGGCAGUGCUGUAAAUGAGAGUGUCCAGGGAUGGCUUGCCUAUAGUAAUCUCAAUUGGCC